UUUCCAUUAUGGAAAAAAAAGUCCCUAUGUACCUGCUAACAGGUACUUUUAGUAUCGCCUCCGUCGAGGUCCCAAGCAGGCUGAGGCGACACCAAAAGCUAGACUGGACAAUAUA